UUGACUUUCCCCCCAAGAAGAAGCACGGGCUAACUUCCGUGCCCAGCAGCCGCGGUUAAUCCGGAGGGUGCCAGCCUUUAUUGGAAUUACUGGGCGUAAAGCGCACGCCGGCGGUCUGUCAAGUCGGAUGUGAAAUCCCCGGGCUCAACCUGGGAACUGCAUUCGAAACUGGCAGGCUAGAGUCUUGUAGAGGGGGGUAGAAUUCCAGGUGUAGCGGUGAAAUGCGUAGAGAUCUGGAGGAAUACCGGUGGCGAAGGCGGCCCCCUGGACAAAGACUGACGCUCAGGUGCGAAAGCGUGGUGAGCAAACAGGAUUAGAUACCCUGGUAGUCCACGCCGUAAACGAUGUCGACUUGGAGGUUGUGCCCUUGAGGCGUGGCUUCCGGAGCUAACGCGUUAAGUCGACCGCCUGGGGAGUACGGCCGCAAGGUUAAAACUCAAAUGAAUUGACGGGGGCCCGCACAAGCGGUGGAGCAUGUGGUUUAAUUCGAUGCAACGCGAAGAACCUUACCUGGCCUUGACAUCCACGGAAUUCGGCAGAGAUGCCUUAGUGCCUUCGGGAACCGUGAGACAGGUGCUGCAUGGCUGUCGUCAGCUCGUGUUGUGAAAUGUUGGGUUAAGUCCCGCAACGAGCGCAACCCUUAUCCUUUGUUGCCAGCACGUAAUGGUGGGAACUCAAAGGAGACUGCCGGUGAUAAACCGGAGGAAGGUG
rnacentral:rRNA from 1 species